GAUGCUCAGUGAUCCUCAGAGCAGAGAGAGGUAUUGCUGUCUUCUGAGUUCUUCAGUGUCCCAACUGAGACAUUCAAACCUCAUUGCAGAGCUCAUGUCUUUCCUCACCAUCAUGUGAGUGUGAGAUUGCUCUGGAUUCUGGUUAUGUGGCCUGCAGCACCUAUAAGAACAAGCUCGUACAGUGUGCCUGCAUUCCAGCUUCUUAGACUCUACGCAAGUGGACAGAGUAUCAGUGUUUGCCCACUCUUACAGACACCGACUUCUGUCAACUCACUGCUACUGAUCAGGCACCUCACUCCAG
ensembl:lncRNA